AGAGUUUGAUCCUGGCUCAGGAUGAACGCUGGCGGCGUGCCUAACACAUGCAAGUCGAACGGAGUUACGAUGAAACCUAGUGAUUCGUAACUUAGUGGCGGACGGGUGAGUAACGCGUGGAUAACCUGCCUCGCACUGGGGGAUAACACUUAGAAAUAGGUGCUAAUACCGCAUAAGCGCACGGAGCCGCAUGGCUCAGUGUGAAAAACUCCGGUGGUGUAAGAUGGAUCCGCGUCUGAUUAGCUGGUUGGCGGGGUAGAAGCCCACCAAGGCGACGAUCAGUAGCCGGCCUGAGAGGGUGAACGGCCACAUUGGGACUGAGACACGGCCCAAACUCCUACGGGAGGCAGCAGUGGGGAAUAUUGCACAAUGGGGGAAACCCUGAUGCAGCAACGCCGCGUGAGUGAAGAAGUCAUUCGUGAUGUAAAGCUCUAUCAGCAGGGAAGAAAAUGACGGUACCUGAGCAAGAAGCCCCGGCUAACUACGUG
rnacentral:rRNA from 1 species